rnacentral:rRNA from 1 species
UAACCGCGCCCCGAGUGGUAGUCACGUUUAUUGGGCCUAAAGCGUCCGUAGCUGGUUUGGUAAGUCUCUGGUGAAAACCAACAGUAGACUGUUGGAAUGGCUGGAGAUACUACCAGGCUCGAGACCGGGAGAGGCUGAGGGUAUUCCACGGGUAAGAGUAAAAUCUUUUAAUCCGUGGAGGACCACCUGUGGCGAAGGCGCUCAGCUGGAACGGGUCUGACAGUGAGGGACGAAAGCGUGGGGAG